ensembl:snRNA U4 U4 spliceosomal RNA
AGCUUUGCACAGUGGCAGUAUCAUAGCCAAUGAGGUUUAUCGAGGUGCAAUUAUUGCUAAUUGAAAACUUUUCCCAAAAGUUUACACUCUUCUAUUAAUAGACAUUAUAUAUAUGCACACAUAUAUUUUUCCCAGUGGACCUGUGUAUG